rnacentral:misc_RNA from 1 species
GCAGACCUUUACUCUGUAAACAGUUAAAGCUAAUCUUUCCUUUGCUUUUCCUUCACGGUUCUAUCUUGAUCCAUUCUCUCAUUCUUUAUUUUCUUGCCUUCUCUGUUUGGUUUUGCUUCUCUUCAUCUGUUUCCUUUUUUAUAGUUUGACAACUUGUUAAGGGUGAAAAGUUAAACCAUGGAUGCAGCAGCAGUAGGAGGAGCAUUUCUCUCUGCUUUUCUUCAGGUUCUGUUUGAUAGAAUUGGUUCUCGUGAGGUUCUUGACUUCUUCAGGGGAAGAAAACUCAACGAUGGCCUGCUGAAUAAGUUGAAUUUAACAUUGAAUUCUGUCAAUGGAGUGCUAGAUGACGCGGAGGAGAAGCAGAUUACUAGGCCUAAUGUGAAAAUCUGGGUCGACGAGCUAAAAGAUGCUGUUUAUGAUGCCGAGGACUUGUUAGAUGAGAUUGCAUAUGAAGUUCUGCGAACGAAGUUGGAAGCUGCUCCUGUGUCUCGGAGACAAAAGGUGCGCAACUUUUUCUCUUGUUAUAAUCCAUUUAAGAAGGGAGUGGAAGCAAAGUUAGAAGAGAUAGUAGAGAGACUUGAAAAUUUAGUAAAACAAAAGGAUGUCCUUGGCCUAAUAGAGAGUGCUGCAGAAAGACCACCACCAUUACAGAAUGCAGCAACGACUUCUUUGGUUGAUGAAUCUGGUGUUUAUGGUAGGAAAGGAGAUAAAGAAGCCAUAAUGAAAUUGCUGCAAUCAGAUAACACAAGUGGGAAAGACCUAGAUGUGAUUUCCAUAGUGGGCAUGGGUGGGCUUGGUAAAACCACCCUUGCUCAGCUUGUCUAUAAUGACAAUCGAGCAGAUCAUUUGUUUGAUCUCAAAGCAUGGGUGUGUGUUUCCAAGGAAUUCAACAUACCCAAGAUCACUAAAGACAUUCUUGAGGAAGUCACUGGGAAGACUUGUGAAAUUGAAAAUCCCAAUCGGCUUCAACUUGAGUUGAAGAAGACAAUGAUUGGAAAAAAAGUUCUAAUUGUUUUGGAUGAUGUUUGGAAUGAUAAGAUUACUCCUUGGGAGGAUUUACUGAAACCUUUGAAAUUUGUUGCUCAAGGAAGUAAGAUUAUUGUGACAACAAGAAAUGAAAGUGUAGCAGUACUUGUAUGCACUCUUCCAAUCCAUCAUCUGAAGGAAUUAACUUAUGAUGAUUGCUGGUCCUUGUUUGCAAAAUAUGCAUUUGAUGAUAGUAAUGUUGAUGCAUAUCCAAACUUGGAAGAAAUUGGUAGAGAAAUAGUAAAAAAGUGCAAAGGCCUGCCUUUAGCUGCAAAAACACUUGGGAGUCUACUCCACUCAAAAAGAGAUGUUGAAGAAUGGGAGAAGAUAUCGAGGAGUGACAUUUGGAAUUUGCCAAAUGAUGAUAUUCUUCCAGUGCUGAGAUUAAGCUAUUAUUGUCUCCCAUCACAUCUGAAAAGAUGUUUUGCUUAUUGUGCUAUAUUUCCCAAGGAUUAUGAAUUUAAAAAGGAGGAGUUAGUUUUUCUAUGGAUGGCAGAAGGUUUCCUAGCAGGGGGUCCAGAGCUGGAAAAUGCAGGCAGUGACUUCUUUUCUGAUCUUGUAUCCAGGUCAUUUUUCCAAAGAUCAAGUGAUGAUCAGUCGCAUUUUGUUAUGCAUGACCUCAAAAAUGACUUAGCUAAAUCUGUGUCUGGAGAAUUUUGUUUCAGGUUAAAUUCUAACAAUUCUAGUAGUAUUACCAGAAGGACUCGCCACUUGUCAUAUGCGAGAACAGAACAUGAUGGCUCUAAGAAAUUUGAGGCUGUUUAUGAAGCUGAAGUUCUGCGCACAUUCUUGCCUAUAGAUUGGUCAAAGUGGUGGUGGCCCAAAUGCAUUGACAACGAGGUAAUGCAUGAUUUACUGCCAAAGCUAAAGCGCCUACGUGUGUUAUCUCUGUCUCAAUAUCAUAACAUCAUUGAAUUGCCUGAUUCAUUCGGCAAAAUGAAGCAUUUACGGUACCUGGAUCUCUCUGGAACACCUAUCAAAAGGUUGCCUGAAUCUGUGGAUAAACUUCUCAACUUACAGACAUUGAAGUUGCGUGAUUGUUUUGAGCUUAUUGAGUUACCAAGAGGCAUCUGCAAUUUACUCAACUUGCGGCAUCUUGAUAUUAUCGGCACAUUGGAGUUGCAAGAUAUGCCGCCUCAUAUCGGUAAUUUGACUAGUCUUUGCACGUUGACUAAGUUUGUGGUGGGGACAAUCAAUGGACGAAUAACAGAGUUGAAGAAACUGAAUCUACAAGGGCAACUUCAUAUUACAAGUUUGAAGAAUGUGUUAGAUAUUGAAGAUGCAGAUUUUGCCAAUUUGAAGGAUAAGCCUGGUAUCACUGAAUUAAACUUGGAUUGGGUUGAUGACGAUGAAUUUUCCUCUGGUUUUGUGAAUUCAAGUGAUGAAGAACAAGUUCUCAACUCAUUACGGCCACAUCAAAGUCUGUCAAGCCUCUCAAUUAGAUCAUUUGGUGGAAAGGAAUUCCCAUCGUGGCUUGGAGAGCCUUCAUUCUCUAGCAUGGUGGAGGUGGAGCUGACCAAUUGUUGUCAAAUCAAAUUAUUGCCACCACUCGGACAAUUGAAGUCACUAAAAAAGUUGAGCAUAGAAGGAUUGAGUGGAGUGAAAGAAGUAGGUGUUGAGUUUUACAACGAUGAUUCAUGCUUUUCUUGUUUGGAGACACUAGAGAUUAGUCAUAUGUAUCAGUGGGAGCUAUGGUCAUGGUCUAAUUGUCUGUGUGAGGAUUCUGUGGCAAAAUUUCCUAAGCUACGUGAGCUUCGAAUAGUAUAUUGUCCCAAGUUGGUUGGAAAAUUGCCCACCUCUCUUCCCUCCCUGGAAGAACUUAGUAUUUUUGGUUGCCCGCGGUUAGUUGAUUUACCAAAAGGGCUGCCUUCCUUGAAAGAACUACAUGUGCUGAAUUGUCCACAGUUAGUUGAUUUACCAGAAGGGCUUCAGUCUCUUAUAACACUAUCUAUUAUUGGAAGUCAAGAGGCAGUUCUCAGGAAUGUGUCUUAUGCCACCUCUCUCACUACCUUGGAAAUUGCAGGUAUGUCAGGACUCGUGAGAUUAGAUGAAGCCAAAAUAAAGACACUGGGGGCACUUCAAGUGUUGGAGAUUAGGAAUUGUGGUGAACUGAGAUACUUGUGGGCUGAUGAAACCAAUUCAGACUAUCUCACUAGUCUAAAGGAUUUGAAAAUUCACCAAUGUAAUCAGCUUGUGUCAUUAGUAAAUGGAGAGGAAGGGCUUUUGCCUUGCAAUCUUGAAAGUUUGAAUAUUUCUCAGUGUCGUUAUUUGGAGGAGUUGCCAAGUGGUCUGAGCAACCUCAAAUCUCUCCAAUAUUUGAGCAUUCACUCAUGUGCAAGUUUAGUCUCCUUCCCAGCAAGGGGUUUGCCACACAACUUGAUACGCCUUAUAAUCGGAAGGUGUGGUUCUUUGGAGUCAUUGCCCGAGGGAAAUGUGGGUCACUGUAAUUACAUUAGCGAGAUGUCUCAUCUAGAGGAAUUGUAUAUCUAUGAAUGUAAAUCUCUCAGGUCCUCUCUGAAUGGCAAGUGUCCUGAUUCCCUUAAGACUCUUAAUAUUCGCAAUUGGACGACACAAUCAUUAAACUCCCUAUAUUAUGGGCUUUCUCAUCUCACAAUAUUACAAAUUUGGAAUUGUCCUCAAUUAGAGUCAUUUCCAGGGAUGGAAUUGCACAUCCCUACUCUUAUCUCUUUACAAAUUUGUGAUUGUGAAAGAUUGAGGUCUCUCUCCAGUCAUAUGCAAAACCUACAGUGCCUCCAAUAUUUACAAAUAUCCACCUGUCAUCAAUUAGAAUUGUUCCCAAAAAUGGGAUUGCCCAACCCAAUGCUUGUCUCUUUUCAGAUUUAUGGGUGCAAAAAUUUGAGGUCUCUACCCAAUCACAUGCAGCACCUCACUUCCCUUAGAUCUCUGAAGGUAUCAUAUUGCAGAGGUAUGGAGUCCUUAACAGAAGGGUGUUUACCUCCAAACCUAUCUGAACUUUCGAUCUAUGAAUGCUUGAAUCUGAAGCAACCAAUGCCAGAAUGGGGACUCCACAGACUCGCUUCUUUUAGAAAAUUGACCAUCCAUGACUCGGGUUCAACUAGAGAUAUGGUUUCCUUUCCAGAUGAUGAUGGCUUACUGCUUCCCACAUCUCUAACUGACCUCAGAAUCUCUAAAUUCAAGAAUCUGAAAUCUAUAUCCAGGGGUAUCCAAAAGCUCAUCUCUCUUCAAGAAUUAGAUAUUCAGUUAUGCCAGGAACUCCAUUCCAUCCCAGAUGAAGGCUUCCCUGCUACACUGGAAGAACUAUCUGUUUCCUGCUGUCCUCUACUGCAAGACCGUUGCUUAAAAGAUAGAGGAGGAGAUUACUGGCCCAUUAUUUCUCAUAUCCCCCGUAUCCGAAUAAAUUAAUUAAGGCUCUGCAGUACCCCAGCAAUCAGACUUCUGUUGUGAGUUGGGACAAACAAGGAAUUUUGUAUCUGCAGCAUUCCAUCAAUCAGGGAAUUUCAGCUUCUUGGAAACAAAUGGAAGAAUCAUCUUCCCUUCCUCCCUGAAUCAGAAUUUCUCAUAUAGCUGCUUCCUUUCAGAGAAAUGGUAGAAAGUGAGCUCAAGACUUCAUCAGAGCAGGGUGGGAUUCAUUGAAAAUGAUAAUAGGAGAAUGCUUCCAAUUUCAUAAUAUUAUCAAAGGGACAUUUGAAGAGUUAUUUAAAAUGAGAUUCAGGCAUAGCCAUCUUGAAAAUCAAGAAAGUAGCUUUUUCCAAUGAUCCUGGCUGUGUUUUAUGAGCAGAUUGUAAUCUUCUAGUCUCAACAAAAGAUCAGUAAUGCAUCCUCAUCUAUGAUUAGGUACUUGAACUCGUCUUCCUUAUCAACUCCUAUAUAUUCCCUUUGUGGGGUUUUCUUUUUCAGAUAAUUUGACUGUGUAGUGAUGGUUCGUUUGAUCUACUAUCAACAAUUUACAUUAACAUUUGACUAGAACCUCUAUUGUUGAUAUUGUUCACUAUGCACACAAACAGAUUUCUAUUUAUAUAGCUAUAGUUGGUUGGAGUUGGGCUAACUUAACUCUUAAUUUUUUUUUAUUGUGAAUUUCUUUUUUAUUUUCAUUAAAUUUUAAUUGAGUUUUUUUUUUAAAUUUUUUAAAUGGGUAAAAAUUUGUUGAUUGUGUUUUAUUUUUUUCUGUUCGCAUUGGCAAGUUUCUGAUUCUCGAAUUUCUGGAUCAAGGAGGGCUUCAACAACUCAUCUCUCUCGAAAAAGCUGGAAAUUAUUUGUUGCAAAAGGUUCUGUACCUUGGCAACCUUGGGGACCUAAGAAGACAUAGGAAAUAACAGGGCCUUUGAUCACAGGAGAUAAUCCAUCCAAAAAAAGUGAUAACCACAGAGCAAAGGGAAAAGUUGGGUUUAGGAGGUAAACCUAUAGGACAUUCAGCUUGCAACACUUCCUUUUUAGCCAAGAAAUGCCCUGCAAAAAGUUGAGAUGUCAAGUGCUUCAAAGAAGAGCACAAGAAGUGUAGGUAUCAAAUGAGGAACAAGAGGAGAUGCUGAGGAAUUUGGAACGCAGAGAAACCGAGUAUAUGAGGAUGCAACGACGUAAAACUGGAAUUGAUGACUUUGAGCAAUUAACUGUAAUCGGUAAAGGUGCAUUUGGUGAGGUCAGAUUAUGCAGAGCCAAAAGCACUGGAGAGAUUUUUGCCAUGAAGAAACUCAAGAAGUCCGAGAUGCUUAGCCGUGGGCAGGUUGAGCAUGUCCGAUCAGAGAGGAACUUACUUGCUGAGGUUGAUAGUCGAUGCAUUGUAAAACUUUUCUAUUCCUUUCAAGAUUCUGAUUUCUUAUACCUUAUCAUGGAGUAUUUGCCUGGUGGAGACAUAAUGACGCUAUUGAUGAGAGAAGAUAUUCUUUCUGAAGAUGUUGCACGCUUUUAUAUAGCAGAGAGUAUUCUAGCUAUACACUCAAUUCAUCAGCACAAUUAUGUUCAUAGGGACAUAAAACCAGAUAACCUGAUACUGGACAAAAAUGGCCAUUUGAAGCUUUCAGAUUUUGGCCUAUGCAAGCCCCUGGAUGAUAAGUAUUCAACAAUUUUACUGGAAAAUGAAGAUAUUUCUACUCAAGAAGGUGCAAUAAACGUUGGAGGACACUUUGACCGACCUCCUUGGUCAAUGCCUAAAGAAAAAUUACAACAAUGGAAACGUAAUCGUCGUGCACUGGCUUAUUCUACUGUUGGAACUCUUGAUUAUAUGGCGCCUGAAGUGUUGCUAAAGAAGGGAUAUGGAAUGGAGUGUGAUUGGUGGUCCCUGGGUGCAAUCAUGUAUGAGAUGCUUUUGGGCUAUCCUCCCUUCUGUUCUGAUGAUCCCAGAAUCACAUGCCGCAAGAUAAUAAAUUGGAAAACAUGCCUCAAAUUCCCUGAGGAACCAAAGAUAUCAAAUGAGGCCAGAGAUCUUAUUUGUCACUUGCUCUGUGAUGUUGAAACGAGGCUAGGGACCAGAGGAGUGGAUGAAUUAAAGGCACAUCCAUGGUUCAGAUGCAUUCAGUGGGAUAUGUUGUACGAAAUGGAAGCUGCAUAUAAGCCUCUAGUCAAUGGAGAUUUGGACACUCAGAAUUUUGAGAAAUUUCCUGAUUUGGAAGGUCCACCAUCCACAAUACCAAGGGUGGGACCGUGGAGGAAGGUAAUGUCAUUGUUUGAUUCUAAUUCACUAUUUACGCCAAAAGGCUCUGAGAAAAUUAUCUGUUUGUCAACUAGCAAAAUAAUAAUAUUGAAAAAAAAAAGGAAAAUAGCUGAAGGGUUAGGUUUUGUUACUUAUUAGAUCACUUAUGACUAAUCACUAAAGCAUCACUGAAACUGUACUAGUAUGUGUUUCAUCAUGUCCUUGAAUUUAUGUAGGGUGGUCAACUAUUUAACGACCUUGCCAUAUAUUUCUAAGUUUUGCUAUAUAUGCUCACCAUUUUUCUUACUGAAUUACAUAUGCUUAUUUUCAGCUUUUGGCCUAUAGUUUUAUAUGAGCAUGAUCCUAAUUUUUCUAGUAUAUUUUGUUUGUUCCAUCAUGCAGAUGUUGACAUCAAAAGAUACCAAUUUCAUAGGAUUUACUUUUAAGAAAUCUGACGUCCUUAACUCACUAGAAAGUUCAGGUGCAGAUGUGAAAUCAAAUGUAUCUUCAAAGGCUCCAUCUUUAAUUUCCUUAUUAGGCCAGAUUGACCUGCAAGAAACUGUGGAACCAGAAGGGGAUCAGACGCUGGAAAUUUAAUUUCCAGCCAUUAUGUUUUGAUUUGAUUGCAGUAGGUUUUCCAAGUUUAUUCACAAGUAAAAUCUGAAAAAGGAAGAACUAUACAAGACAUAAUUGGCAAGAGGUGUUGUGCAUACAUGAAUAAGGACAUCAGCUCUAGAGUUGAUGUGAUGUUGGGUUCUAUUCUUUUUUAUUUUCUUGCAACAAACGUGAUCUGAUACUGUAAAGCCAGUAAAUAGUUCAAUUCAACUGGGAUACAAUUUUUUUGAGAGCUUAUUUAACCCUUAUCUGUGUCAGAGUCGGGCAUCGUUUAUUCAAGUUUGUACAUUAAAACAGACAUCCUUUUCCUUUUGUUCCUUUUACAGUACUGGUAUUGUCUACAUGAAAUUCAGGGAUUUUGAAUGUUGUUCCCUGACCAUGCCAUCAACAUG